rnacentral:rRNA from 1 species
CCUACGGGAGGCAGCAGUGAGGAAUAUUGGUCAAUGGGCGGAAGCCUGAACCAGCCAAGUAGCGUGCGGGAUGAAGGCCCUACGGGUCGUAAACCGCUUUUGCACGGGGAUAACACCCUCCACUUGUGUAGGUCUGCAGGUACCGUGCGAAUAAGGGCCGGCUAAUUCCGUGCCAGCAGCCGCGGUAGUACGGAAGGCCCGAGCGUUAUCCGGUUUAAUUGGGGUAAAAGGGAGCGUGGGCGGGCGUUCAAGUCAACGGGAAAAUCCCCGGGCUAAACCGCGCCCCGCAGUUGAAACUGGACGUCUUGAGUUCACAACAGGCAGGCGGAAUUCGUGGUGUAGCGGUGAAAUGCAUAGAUAUCACGAGGAACCCCGAUUGCGAAGGCAGACUACCGGGGUGCGACUGACGCUGAGGCUCGAAGGUGCGGGUAUCAAACAGGAUUAGAUACCCCUGUAGUC